GUGCUCACUUUGGCAGCACAUAUAGUAAGAUUGGAACGAUGCAGAGAAGACUAGCCUGGCCCCUGAAAGGAUGACAUGCAAAUUCCUGAAGUGUUUCAUAUAUAU
ensembl:snRNA U6 U6 spliceosomal RNA